GAUGAACGCUGGCGGUGUGCCUAAUACAUGCAAGUCGAGCGAGCAGACGAGGAGCUUACUCCUCUGACGUUAGCGGCGGACGGGUGAGUAACACGUGGAUAACCUACCUAUAAGACUGGGAUAACUUCGGGAAACCGGAGCUAAUACCGGAUAACAUGUUGAACCGCAUGGUUCAACAGUGAAAGACGGUCUUGCUGUCACUUAUAGAUGGAUCCGCGUCGCAUUAGCUAGUUGGUAAGGUAACGGCUUACCAAGGCAACGAUGCGUAGCCGACCUGAGAGGGUGAUCGGCCACACUGGAACUGAGACACGGUCCAGACUCCUACGGGAGGCAGCAGUAGGGAAUCUUCCGCAAAGGGCGAAAGCCUGACGGAGCAACGCCGCGUGAGUGAAGAAGGUCUUCGGAUCGUAAAACUCUGUUAUUAGGGAAGAACAAAUGUGUAAGUAACUAUGCACGUCUUGACGGUACCUAAUCAGAAAGCCACGGCUAACUACGUG
rnacentral:rRNA from 1 species